rnacentral:rRNA from 1 species
UUUUUUCUAAUAGAGAAUAUAAUAAUAUAAUAGGUAAACUCGAACGACGGACAAAAGCUACGCUAGGGAUAACAGUCUAACACGCCCUUAGAGUUCCUAUCGAUGGGCGUACGAGGAACCUCGAUGUUGGAUCAUCGCAUCCUGUGGCUGAAGAAGGUCAUAAGGGUUGGAUUGUUCAUCCAUUAAAGCGGUACGUGAUCUGAGUUAAGAACGUCAGCUAAAAAGCUGUGGCGUUGUGCUGUAGUGAUAUAGUACCAGCAUUAACUAAUAUCGGUGAAGCCUUCUAUUGUUAAACACGUGAGACAGUUCGGAUUCUAUCUUUGUUAGCAAAGGCAUUGCCUAAGCAACUGUAGCCUUUGAGAGCGAGUACGAAAGGACCAAUCUCUUAUAAACCUCUGGUAUACUUGUUGUCUUAAAACGGCAUAGCAAGAAAGCUACGUUUAGUUUGGCUGAUUUGCUUUAUUUCAAUAAUAUCGAAUGGGCUUAGUUUUUUUUACAGCUAAAGAAUUUUAUAC